UGGACUGGAUGAUAACGUUAUGGACUCCAGAAGAUCUGGGUGACGACAGGGCUGGAUGACAGCAAGGUCGCCAUGGUGACCAGAUCCUGCUAUGCAACCAGAGAGCAGUCAGCUGAUGGAGUUUCACCAUACGACCUCAUCGUUGGCAGAUGUGGCAAAGACUCGACGGUGGAGGGGGAGGAAAGCGACGAGGGAACGUCCAACUCCUUCUCUUUCAGCGUGUUCCAGUUCUCCAGGAAGGAUGGCGAGAUCUAGCUGAAGUGUGAAGUGGAGCUGCGCCUCACAGAGGAGCAAAGCUGCUCUCAUAGCUGUAACGAUGGAGGCAAAAGGAGGUGCAGAUCCUUCAGGUCUAGAUAUGAUAGAAACUCGGCCCUCAUCACGAUGUCCUGGAAUAAUUAAAGACAGCUCCCCUUCUGAUGGAUUACACGGUGAUUCCUCACUUGAGCUUCGUCCCAACAAGGAGCCUGAA